UGGGGGAUAUUGCACAAUGGGCGAAAGCCUGAUGCAGCGACGCCGCGUGGGGGAUGAAGGCCUUCGGGUUGUAAACUUCUUUUGCUCUGAACAAGGCAUGCCUUUGGGGUGUGUUGAGUGUAGGGGUUGAUUAGCGCCGGCUAACUACGUGCCAGCAGCCGCGGUAAUACGUAGGGCGCGAGCGUUGUCCGGAAUUAUUGGGCGUAAAGGGCUUGUAGGUGGCUGGUUGCGUCUGUCGUGAAAGCUCAUGGCUUAACUGUGGGUUUGCGGUGGGUACGGGCUGGCUGGAGUGCAGUAGGGGAGGCUGGAAUUCCUGGUGUAGCGGUGGAAUGCGCAGAUAUCAGGAGGAAUACCGGUGGCGAAGGCGGGUCUCUGGGCUGUUACUGACGCUGAGGAGCGAAAGCGUGGGGAGCGAACAGG
rnacentral:rRNA from 1 species